UGUGGAUGAUGUGUUCUACAGAUUGG
rnacentral:piRNA from 1 species